UGGAAUUUUUGGCGCGAGCAGCUCCGCGCGCGUUCACGGGCCGUUCCCCCUCACGGGAGUCCUCCGCCCGGGCGUCCGGAACAGUCGACGGCAGACUCCGGCCCGCUGAGCCACCCGAGGGGUCCCGUGGCCUCCGCGGACCCGGAAUCUGGGCCCUCGCGGACCCGCGCCCCGCCCAGUCGCCCCAGGGAUGCCCUGGACCUAAGUGACAUCAACUCAGAGCCUCCUCGGGGCUCCUUCCCCUCCUUUGAGCCUCGGAACCUCCUCAGCCUGUUUGAGGACACCCUAGACCCAACCUGAGCCCCAGACUCUGCCUCUGCACUUUUAACCUUUUAUCCUGUGUCUCUCCCGUCGCCCUUGAAAGCUGGGGCCCCUCGGGAACUCCCAUGGUCUUCUCUGCCUGGCCGUGUCUAAUAAAAAGUAUUUGAACCUUGGGAGCACCCAAGCUUGCUCAUGUGGC
rnacentral:lncRNA from 1 species